UAUACUUAACCGUCCCGCCUUCAACAGAGUUCCAGGUUAUGUGAUGUGAUAUCUGACAUGACGUCUUCUACGAUGACGCUUCGACGUAAAUUAACAAUUCGUUGUUAUAGCACGACGGUUUGGAAGGUGCAAAACGACGAUACCUGGAGGCUACACGACGUUUCGACUCGAAUCUGGAAUCUACGUAAACAGUACAAAAAUACGCCGCUUACCGUGUCCUCAAGGUACAUAGGAGACCCGUAGUCAAUACCCUGCUUCUGCUACCUCGUUCGAAGGUCUAGAGUCUAGCUCGAUGUCAAUUGAGACGACCGGACUACUAUUAGAUAAGAAACCUGAAACCUCACCUACUAGUCAGACUACUCUAAUGGACGUUAA
rnacentral:rRNA from 1 species